UGGUGGGGCAGCGAAAAUGGUAAGAAGAAGCUGCACUGGCGAUCCUGGGAGUGGCUCACUACGCCAAAAUCCCUAGGGGGAAUGGGCUUCCAUGAUAUGGCACUUUUUAAUCAAGCUAUGCUUGGAAAGCAAGGAUGGCGCUUACUCACCGAACCAGAUUCGUUAUGUGCCCGGGUUCUCAAAGGCAUAUACUUCCCUCAAGGAGACUUUUGGAAUGCUAUAGCUCCUCGGUCCGCAUCAGUCACGUGGCGUAGUAUCCUUUAUGGCCGGGAUCUUUUGAAGCAAGGGAAUCAAGUUUUAGAAACGGAAAGAUGA
rnacentral:rRNA from 1 species